AACAUGCAAGUCGAACGAACCAUCCUGAUGAUUGAAGCUUGCUUCAUGAUUCAGACCUUGGUGAGUGGCGGACGGGUGAGUAACACGUGGGUAACCUGCCCAGAAGUGGGGGAUAACAUUUGGAAACAAGUGCUAAUACCGCAUAACAACUUAGAUCACAUGAUCUUUGUUUAAAAGAUGGUUUUGCUAUCUCUUCUGGAUGGACCCGCGGCGUAUUAGCUAGUUGGUGAGGUAAUAGCUCACCAAGGCGAUGAUACGUAGCCGACCUGAGAGGGUAAUCGGCCACAUUGGGACUGAGACACGGCCCAAACUCCUACGGGAGGCAGCAGUAGGGAAUCUUCCACAAUGGGCGCAAGCCUGAUGGAGCAACACCGCGUGAGUGAAGAAGGGUUUCGGCUCGUAAAACUCUGUUGUUGAAGAAGAACGUGCGUGAGAGUAACUGUUCACGCAGUGACGGUAUUCAACCAGAAAGUCACGGCUAGCUACGUG
rnacentral:rRNA from 1 species